GUAGUCUGCAACUCGACUACAUGAAGCUGGAAUCGCUAGUAAUCGCGAAUCAGAAUGUCGCGGUGAAUACGUUCCCGGGUCUUGUACACACCGCCCGUCACACCAUGGGAGUCAGUAACGCCCGAAGUCAGUGACCGAACCUGAGAGGGAAGGAGCUGCCGAAGGCGGGACGGAUAACUGGGGUGAAGUCGUAACAAGGUAAC
rnacentral:rRNA from 1 species